rnacentral:rRNA from 1 species
UACAGAGGUCUCAAGCGUUGUUCGGAUUCAUUGGGCGUAAAGCGCGCGUAGGCGGUCCGGUAAGUCCGCUGUGAAAGUCGGGGGCUCAACCCUCGGAUGCCGGUGGAUACUGUCGGGCUUGAGUGCGGAAGAGGCGAGUGGAAUUCCUGGUGUAGCGGUGAAAAUGCGCAGAUAUCGGGAGGAACACCAGUAGCGAAGGCGGCACUCUGGGCCGGUACUGACGCUGAGGAGCGAAAGCGUGGGGAGCGAACAGG